rnacentral:lncRNA from 1 species
GUGUGUGUGUGUGUGUGUGUGUGUGUGUGUGUGAUCUUCAUCUAGCUUCCUUGGAUGCUCAUGCUACAUUUGAUGUAAGUGUGUUUGUGCUUCACUUGAAACUGGAGAGUGAAGAAGGGAGAGAACGAAAGAAGUGUAGAUGGGAUUCAGUAUUAAAGGGUUAAUGAAUGUUGUGUUGCCAUUUUGAUGUAUCUGAUAGAGAUAUACAACAAGCUAAGUUGGACAAGAAAUUAAUAGGUAAUGUGACCGUAGUAACUAGAAACAUAGCUUGUUGUCAGCGGGUUGGUCGGAGCUCUCCGUCGGCGGACAUCUUUGUGGUUAUUCCUUGAUUCUAUGUAGAAGAUGAAGAAGGACGCUUAUGUGAUCAUACGUCGUCAGACCACCAAAAGCUUGGUGUCGGCUAGAGACGGGAGUUGCAUCGGAGGAUGAGCAUUGUCGGCCUUUGGAGUUGGAUGUUGACGUACCUGUCUAGUGUGCGAUGCAUGGAGGUAUCCUUUUGACCUAAUGGAUCCUAUCACUUGUUAGUUUUGGGCUUUAGAUUGUUGGGCUAAUUGUAUGGAUUAAAUCAUUGUCUAUGGGAUGAUGUGUUUUUUUUAACAAUUGGACUUCAAGAUGGUAGGCUUAUUAUAUAUGGAUAAAAUAUAUAUUGGGUUAAACGUACUAUGGAGUAAUUAAAUCUUAAUACAUGAUUAAUAAGAUGGAAAAUAUUUGUGAAAAUAUAUUUUGGUUUAAUUAAUUAUAAGAUGAGUUUAUGGACUAAUUAUGUUGUAUGGAUUAAGGCUAUAGUAGUUCGAUAACUAUUGGGUAAUAUUAGAUAACGACACAUAAAUAUUAUUAUUUAACGAGUUGGUUAAUUAUAAGUAUUUUGAUUUAUUUAAAGGCUAGACUAUUUUGCUGGUUUAGAGGACAUAUGCUUAACCUAGUAAGUGAAACACAUAAUUAAGGGCGAUCUAAUUGUUAUAACAAUAAUAAAAGUGAAUAAGAAGUAUAUUAUAGUGUAUUAUUAAGUAAUGCUUGAAAUUUAGGCUAAAUAAUGAUUAGUUAUAUAAUUGUAGGUGUUCAAGGAGCUGUGUAAUCUCUCUUAGCCGCUUCAGUGAUUUUAUGUUGUGUUUUCCAGCUUCAGUGAGUUCUCAUGAACUUACUUAUUAUAUGGACUAUGUGAUUAUGUUAUGUGAAACCACGAAAAGACUCUUAAGUGAGGGAAGUGGUUAUGGAUUGGACAACUGGAGAAAAGCCUCACAUUAGUCUGGGUGGCCAUGUACGGAUGGUCGACCACGCGAAGCCUCUUUAAGGAAGGUGGUAUAUGUAGG